rnacentral:rRNA from 1 species
UACGUAGGGGGCGAGCGUUGUCCGGAAUUACUGGGCGUAAAGAGCUCGUAGGUGGUUUGUCGCGUUGUUCGUGAAAACUCACAGCUUAACUGUGGGCGUGCGGGCGAUACGGGCAGACUGGAGUACUGCAGGGGAGACUGGAAUUCCUGGUGUAGCGGUGGAAUGCGCAGAUAUCAGGAGGAACACCGGUGGCGAAGGCGGGUCUCUGGGCAGUAACUGACGCUGAGGCGCGAAAGCGUGGGGAGCAAACAGG